UACAGAGGGUGCAAGCGUUGUCCGGAAUCACUGGGCGUAAAGCGCGUGUAGGCGGCUUUGCAAGUCGGGUGUGAAAGCCCUCAGCUCAACUGAGGAAGUGCGCCCGAAACUGCAGAGCUUGAGUGCCGGAGAGGGUGGCGGAAUUCCCCAAGUAGAGGUGAAAUUCGUAGAUAUGGGGAGGAACACCGGUGGCGAAGGCGGCCACCUGGACGGUAACUGACGCUGAGACGCGAAAGCGUGGGGAGCAAACAGG
rnacentral:rRNA from 1 species